GGGUUGUGAGGUUAAGCGACUAAGCGUACACGGUGGAUGCCCUGGCAGUCAGAGGCGAUGAAGGACGUGCUAAUCUGCGAUAAGCGUCGGUAAGGUGAUAUGAACCGUUAUAACCGGCGAUUUCCGAAUGGGGAAACCCAGUGUGUUUCGACACACUAUCAUUAACUGAAUCCAUAGGUUAAUGAGGCGAACCGGGGGAACUGAAACAUCUAAGUACCCCGAGGAAAAGAAAUCAACCGAGAUUCCCCCAGUAGCGGCGAGCGAACGGGGAGCAGCCCAGAGCCUGAAUCAGUAUGUGUGUUAGUGGAAGCGUCUGGAAAGGCGCGCGAUACAGGGUGACAGCCCCGUACACAAAAAUGCACAUGCUGUGAGCUCGAUGAGUAGGGCGGGACACGUGGUAUCCUGUCUGAAUAUGGGGGGACCAUCCUCCAAGGCUAAAUACUCCUGACUGACCGAUAGUGAACCAGUACCGUGAGGGAAAGGCGAAAAGAACCCCGGCGAGGGGAGUGAAAAAGAACCUGAAACCGUGUACGUACAAGCAGUGGGAGCACAGAGCAAUCUGUGUGACUGCGUACCUUUUGUAUAAUGGGUCAGCGACUUAUAUUCUGUAGCAAGGUUAACCGAAUAGGGGAGCCGAAGGGAAACCGAGUCUUAACUGGGCGUUAAGUUGCAGGGUAUAGACCCGAAACCCGGUGAUCUAGCCAUGGGCAGGUUGAAGGUUGGGUAACACUAACUGGAGGACCGAACCGACUAAUGUUGAAAAAUUAGCGGAUGACUUGUGGCUGGGGGUGAAAGGCCAAUCAAACCGGGAGAUAGCUGGUUCUCCCCGAAAGCUAUUUAGGUAGCGCCUCGUGAAUUCAUCUCCGGGGGUAGAGCACUGUUUCGGCAAGGGGGUCAUCCCGACUUACCAACCCGAUGCAAACUGCGAAUACCGGAGAAUGUUAUCACGGGAGACACACGGCGGGUGCUAACGUCCGUCGUGAAGAGGGAAACAACCCAGACCGCCAGCUAAGGUCCCAAAGUCAUGGUUAAGUGGGAAACGAUGUGGGAAGGCCCAGACAGCCAGGAUGUUGGCUUAGAAGCAGCCAUCAUUUAAAGAAAGCGUAAUAGCUCACUGGUCGAGUCGGCCUGCGCGGAAGAUGUAACGGGGCUAAACCAUGCACCGAAGCUGCGGCAGCGACGCUUAUGCGUUGUUGGGUAGGGGAGCGUUCUGUAAGCCUGCGAAGGUGUGCUGUGAGGCAUGCUGGAGGUAUCAGAAGUGCGAAUGCUGACAUAAGUAACGAUAAAGCGGGUGAAAAGCCCGCUCGCCGGAAGACCAAGGGUUCCUGUCCAACGUUAAUCGGGGCAGGGUGAGUCGACCCCUAAGGCGAGGCCGAAAGGCGUAGUCGAUGGGAAACAGGUUAAUAUUCCUGUACUUGGUGUUACUGCGAAGGGGGGACGGAGAAGGCUAUGUUGGCCGGGCGACGGUUGUCCCGGUUUAAGCGUGUAGGCUGGUUUUCCAGGCAAAUCCGGAAAAUCAAGGCUGAGGCGUGAUGACGAGGCACUACGGUGCUGAAGCAACAAAUGCCCUGCUUCCAGGAAAAGCCUCUAAGCAUCAGGUAACAUCAAAUCGUACCCCAAACCGACACAGGUGGUCAGGUAGAGAAUACCAAGGCGCUUGAGAGAACUCGGGUGAAGGAACUAGGCAAAAUGGUGCCGUAACUUCGGGAGAAGGCACGCUGAUAUGUAGGUGAAGUCCCUCGCGGAUGGAGCUGAAAUCAGUCGAAGAUACCAGCUGGCUGCAACUGUUUAUUAAAAACACAGCACUGUGCAAACACGAAAGUGGACGUAUACGGUGUGACGCCUGCCCGGUGCCGGAAGGUUAAUUGAUGGGGUCAGCGCAAGCGAAGCUCUUGAUCGAAGCCCCGGUAAACGGCGGCCGUAACUAUAACGGUCCUAAGGUAGCGAAAUUCCUUGUCGGGUAAGUUCCGACCUGCACGAAUGGCGUAAUGAUGGCCAGGCUGUCUCCACCCGAGACUCAGUGAAAUUGAACUCGCUGUGAAGAUGCAGUGUACCCGCGGCAAGACGGAAAGACCCCGUGAACCUUUACUAUAGCUUGACACUGAACAUUGAGCCUUGAUGUGUAGGAUAGGUGGGAGGCUUUGAAGUGUGGACGCCAGUCUGCAUGGAGCCGACCUUGAAAUACCACCCUUUAAUGUUUGAUGUUCUAACGUGGACCCGUGAUCCGGGUUGCGGACAGUGUCUGGUGGGUAGUUUGACUGGGGCGGUCUCCUCCUAAAGAGUAACGGAGGAGCACGAAGGUUGGCUAAUCCUGGUCGGACAUCAGGAGGUUAGUGCAAUGGCAUAAGCCAGCUUGACUGCGAGCGUGACGGCGCGAGCAGGUGCGAAAGCAGGUCAUAGUGAUCCGGUGGUUCUGAAUGGAAGGGCCAUCGCUCAACGGAUAAAAGGUACUCCGGGGAUAACAGGCUGAUACCGCCCAAGAGUUCAUAUCGACGGCGGUGUUUGGCACCUCGAUGUCGGCUCAUCACAUCCUGGGGCUGAAGUAGGUCCCAAGGGUAUGGCUGUUCGCCAUUUAAAGUGGUACGCGAGCUGGGUUUAGAACGUCGUGAGACAGUUCGGUCCCUAUCUGCCGUGGGCGCUGGAGAACUGAGGGGGGCUGCUCCUAGUACGAGAGGACCGGAGUGGACGCAUCACUGGUGUUCGGGUUGUCAUGCCAAUGGCACUGCCCGGUAGCUAAAUGCGGAAGAGAUAAGUGCUGAAAGCAUCUAAGCACGAAACUUGCCCCGAGAUGAGUUCUCCCUGACUCCUUGAGAGUCCUGAAGGAACGUUGAAGACGACGACGUUGAUAGGCCGGGUGUGUAAGCGCAGCGAUGCGUUGAGCUAACCGGUACUAAUGAACCGUGAGGCUUAACCUUACAACGCCGAAGGUGUUU
rnacentral:rRNA from 1 species